rnacentral:rRNA from 1 species
AUGAACGCUAGCGGCAGGCUUAAUACAUGCAAGUUGAGGGCAGCAUGAUAUACGCGAGUAUAUUGAUGGCGACCGGCGGACGGGUGAGUAAUAGGUAGGAGACCUACCUCAUACAGGGGGAUAGCAUAGAGAAAUCUGUGGUAAUACCCCAUGAGGUUAUAUGAAUAGAGGCAUAUAAUCAAAGCAUAAGCGAUUAUGCGGUAUGAGAGGGGCCUACUGACCAUUAGCUAGUUGGUGAGGUAAGGGCUCACCAAGGCGAAGAUGGUUAGGGGUUUUGAGAGAGAGACCCCCCACAUUGGAACUGAGAGACGGUCCAGACUCCUACGGGAGGCAGCAGUAGGGAAUAUUGGGCAAUGGGCGAAAGCCUGACCCAGCCAUGCCGCGUGAAGGAAGACGGCCUUAUGGGUUGUAAACUUCUUUACUACGCGAAUAGAGGUUAGUACGAGAUACUAAUAGGAAGGUAGUGUAGUAAAAAAGCACCGGCUAACUCCGUG